AAUCAGCCACACAAAAUGCUCCUCCUUCUCUCUAGUCUCUCUAUCUCUGUCUCUCUUCCCCUCUCAUAAACCAUGGCUGCCACCUCCACUGGCCGGUGAAGUCCGGAGCACCAUCCGUCACCUCCCUUCCUCCUCUCCGACGAACACCAUCGCCGCCGCCGCUGCCGCCCUUUGAUUUUCCGGCGAAUAACCAACUAUGUGAAGCCACCGCCGAACCAGCAACCUCCUUCCCCAUCGCGGCUCCAUAUCCAGCUACCACUGCACUAAGCCGCUCAACCGCGCCACCAGAAGCCCUCAAAAACCUCCAGCCCACCGCUGCCUCUCCCAACCUCGCCGGCGAAGGCUCCAAUGAGCCAAUCAGCCCUCUCAUCUCCAUGUCGAUGCUCGAUUUUCGCCGAAAAUAUUGUAUUUCAUGAUGGAUUCAUCAAAUCCGUCUCAGGUUUGUUAUUUUGUUCAAAUUUCUUUCUUCUACUUCUUUAUUUAUUUUCUCUUCUGAUAGAUCUUAUUAGACUUAAAUUGAUCAUGAAUUUUGAGUUGUUUUAAUGUGUUCAUGUUUGCAGACCAACAUCCGUGAAAAAUGCAUAACUUUUGUGGAUUUUAAGCAAACAGUCAUAACUUUGAUUACGAAAGUUUGAUUUAGUUGAUUGAGUUAUUCACAUGAUUAAAUUAUUAGAGUUAUCCUGUUGGUAUGUUGUGAAUUUUGCCCAUCUUUGUGUCUUUGUGUUGUUACUUUGAUAGCAGGUGUUCUUUGAUAUGACUAUGGACUGAUUCAGAUACAAUUAGCAUAGCGUUACUAGGUGUAAAUUGCGUGACUUUUGAUAAAGGGUUUGACACUAGUUGAUUCACUCCUAAUUGGAAUAACCUUGAUGCCUAGUUAAUUUUGGUAGAUUAUAAAUUUUUUCCCCUUCCCUUCAUAUGACACUUUUGUUACUUGAAUAGGUACGGUAAAUACAUAAUUGGUGCUUUUCAUUGAAAUAUAAUUGAUAUAUAAUUGAUUUGCUUAAUUGACAUUUUACUUUUUUUUUUUUUGACUGAAUUGGGUAUUUUAAGUGUGAUUUUAUAUAUAUGAAAAACUCCCUUGAUUGACUUCAUCCAAUAUUCCCCUCUUCCUUAAUUGAUUCUGACUGAUUUUUGAAUAUCUCUUUGCCCUUUUCUGUUGUGGCUAAUUGACUCUGACAUAUUGCCUUUUUUUUGGACUCUUUAUCCUCUCACUAUAUAAACAGACCCUCUUCCUUAAUUGAUUCUGACUGAUUUUUGAAUAUCUCUUUUCCUUUUCUGUUGUGGCUAAUUGACUCUGACAUAUUGUCUUUUCUGUUGACUCUUUAUCCUCUCACUAUAUAAACAGACCCUCUUUUCAAUUAGAGGACAACAAUCAUAUUCCACUUUCUCUGCUUUUACUCUCUGAAACAUAAAGAACUACUAGCUAUUCUAAUAGAAAAAAAAUACAUAUUUCUCAAGCUGUGUGGCGUUUCUUGUUGAGUUUUAUGGAAGUAUUCUGUAUCUCACCAUUGGGAGUGCUUUACUUCAACAUCCUUCUAAUUAUUUAUUUUAUCUACUGCUCACUAAUAAGUUCUCAAAUCGAUGUAAUCUUUUUUUAUUAUUUUUUGUUUAUGUUGAUUGCAUCAUGUUAAAACCUUUAGAAAGCAUGUCUAUAGGAAUAUUUCAAUAUUAGAUGCUCUUGUUUUCUUGCUAUUAUAUCUUGUCUCGCAGGUUUAAAUAGAUAAUUAUGGAGUUUCAAAAAGUCGUCGGAAUGUUUAAACUGAAUAUGUUGUUCUUUAUAGCUAGUUGUUUUUCUUUCUUCUUAUUUUAUAUUAUUUGGUCUGUAAUAUUACUGUAAAGAUAUUAUUAUUGUAAUGAUAAUUUUAGAGAUUGCUUGGGGCAGGAACUUACGUGCUCUAUGAAUAGUAUAGAUAGGCACAACUUAGAUUUUAUGUUUGUUACAUGCUACGUGAAUUAUUUAGGCACAUAACAUUAGGAUUUAUUAACACAUGAAUCGUUUAGACACUUUUAUUAAUUGAUUCGCUUAGAAAUCUUUCUCCCGACAUAUUAAAUUGAGUUUAUGCAUGCUAAUACCUCUUUUGACAUCUCCACAUUGAGUUUAAGCAUGGUAACAUUUUUAGUACAUUGGCCUACUACAUUAAAUGUUUGCAUGUUAAACACUGCAAUUUAUUAACUUCGCAUUGCAUGUUUUGGCGUGUUAAUACAAUUUAGGCAUAUUAAAACAAGUUUGAGCAUGUUAAUAUUGUGAGCAUGUCAAUAAUUAAUUUUUGCAUAUUAAUACACUUUUAGCAUGUUUAGACACUCAGAUUAAGUAUAUCAUUUCGUAGUAUAUCAUUUCGUGUUUUCGACAUGUAAACAAUAUUUAAGCAUGAUAAUAUGGUAUGCAUGUUAACAAUUAAUUGUAUGCAUAUUAAUGAAUUUUUCAACACGUUAAAAGAUGUCAAAAACUGGAAUUAAUUAUGUUGUCGCAUAUUUUAGCAUAUAAAUACAAAUCUAAGCUGCUAACGUUUUUUAGAGCAUGUUAACAUUAAACUUCUACCCGUUAAUAUAUUUCGACAUGCCAAAGUAGUAUAGUUCAUGCGUGUUAAAACAAUUAAGUUUCGGCAUGUUAAAAUAGUAGAUUUUAGACAUUUUCAGCAUGUUAUUGCAUUUUCCAGCAUAUUAACAUGAAAUUUCUGCACCAUUAGCAUAAUUUUUAGCAUGUUAAGCAUUAAAUUUUAGGCAUUUUCAGCAUGUUAUUGCAAUUUAAGCAUGUCAACAUGAAUUUUCUGCGCACUAAUACAAUUGCCAAUAUGUUAAAAUGUAGGUUGUUGAGCAUUUUCAACAUGUUAAACACUAGAUUAAGUAGCCUUAGCAUGUUAAUGUAUUUUCAAUAUUUGUUAAUUUCUUACUCUCAUUAGUUUAUAACACUUGCACAAUGAAAGUCGUGAGCAUAACUUCUUGACAUAUUUACCGCACUUUGACAUCCUCUUUCAAUAAUUUGACAACACAUUGUUACAGACCCUCUCUCUUUAAAAAUCCCAAAAAGAGUGGUUAUGUCAAAUUUUGCUUUUCGCAAGAAAAAAUGGGGCGCGACAGAAUGACGACUCUACUGGGGAUCUUAGGUUCUAACCAUUACGAAUUUGUGCUUUACGUGGGAUUCCCUCCAUUUGUUUUGAUAAUGUUUGACAUCCUGAUUUAUUUUUUAUCUGUUCUUCUUUUAUCAUUUACUUACACCAUGAUUUAUUAGUCCUUUCUCCUUUUCCCUUUUUAUGUGUUUUUAUAUGUCUCCAUAUCUAUCCCAUUUCCUUUUUCCCUUUUUAUUGUUUAUGCGUUAUCAUGUUCAUCUAUAUGCAUGUUAUAUUUCACUAUGUGCUAUGUGUUACUGCUUUUAUAUAACUGGCCUUCUGCUCAUACUUUCCUCCAAUUGGAACUCUUUUUACGAAUGGUUGCGUAGGUACACAGACGUUCUUUCCUAAACACCAUAUGGGAAAUGCCUUGUGGAUCAAUCGAUCAGCGGUGCGUAACAGUCACAAACUUUCCCACUCGAGGGAACCAUGUUAUAAACCGACUCUUUUCCUUUAGGUCUUGGCUACAUAUUUCUUUUAUUAAGGAAUAUGCAUCCCAUUCAACGUCGGAUGUCUUGGCAUCCUUGACGCAUUGAAUGUUAGUCUCAUUCAAAGUCCAAAGAGUUUCAUGAUCUCAAAGGGACUCACAAUUAUUUGCUAUGUGUUGCAUUUCUAUGUAUGUAUUUAUAUCUUGCCUAUUUUGUUGUUUCCGUUCUUGCUUUAGUCACUCCUUACUUUUAGUAUUCCUCACUUUAGAACUCUUUACUUUUAUAAUUCUUGUCAUGUUAGGACCCUACAAGGCACUCUUAGGGCCUAUUCAAAAUCCUCUAAUUCAUCCCUACUUGCCAUUCAACUUCUACAACCCUCAAAAUUCUGAACUACGUCCGACCUGAUUCUUGUUUAAACAAGAUAAGUAGGCAAUCCUUUACGAGGGUACGGUCUUUCUUUUCCCUUUCUUUUACAAAACAUCCUAAUAUUUGAAAAUGCGAAACAAACUUAUUCAUUCAAAUAGUUUUUCUAUGAAAACAUAUUCUCCAUUUCUUUCACCUUUCCAUAAUGUCAUAAGGGUGAAACUUAGAAGCUUUUCUCUGAAUCAUUCCAACAACUUUUCACAAUUUUUUUAACUCUCAGACAUUUCGAACUAAAUAUUUUAAAAUUUUCAAAACUUUUCAAAUCUUUAAUUCUCCCAUCCAGUCCAAAACAAUUUCUUUAAACACUUUAUGUGCAUCUUUUAAAUAGCUUAUCGUUAUCAGUUUUAAGUACAAACUUAGUACCUAAGUCUUGAGUGGAGCCUAUCUUCUACUUUUGAUGUCAAAUCAUUUCUGAAGCUUAAGUUCUAACCCACCUAUUCUCCCUGAAGUCCUCCUUGACAAAAUGACUCAUAUUAUCGUACUGUAUAUUUUCUUAUUGGAUCCACUCGCUCCUAUUUUGUUCAAAUUGCUAUUUUAUCAAACAUCGGCUCAUUUGAAAAUCUGCGAUAUGACAAAUAUGCUCAAUAUUUCAAAAAAUUUCAUCAUUUUCUUCUUGUCCAAGGCGAUACACUGCUUGAAUUGUAUCUCUUUAUUCUCACCCUAUCCCUACCAACAACAAAUAUUUAGGUUAUGUUUCUUGUGAUUGUGAUAAAGUAAUCCGAACCAAAGAUUGAGCAAAUGAGGUUAGAAAUUCCUAAUUCCAAGCUUCUAUGCGUCAGACUUGGAUUAUAAUAUCAUAAGUCACAUAUAUUUGUCAUCCUCAACCUACCUCGGACUUAAUAAGGCUUCAUACAUUAUAGAACAUUUUAUUCUUGCAUAUUAACAUGUUUAAUUUUUCACUAUAUAUCAUAUUCACCUUACUAACUUGACUUUUUUUUCUUUUUUUCUUUUUUUUUUUUAAUUUUAUUUAUUUUUUUCUCCCACGCCCAAAG
rnacentral:lncRNA from 1 species